GCUAUUCUGCUUUGAGGAAGCUAUGAUUGUGAACACUGUAUAAUUUCUCUGGCAGAUCUGAAACUGAUCUCACCUAAAUUCCAAACUUGGGGCUGAGGUAUUUAAACCUUGACCAUGGCAAUGACCCAGUCUUUAAGGGUCAGAACUCAACUUCAUUAUCUGCAGCCCUAAGAUCUCUGCAAAGGAGCCACUGCGACACUCCGGCCGCACCAGCUGGUCCUAUAUUUAGUUACUGUUGUGGUCAACUGGGAACUUUAGAGCCUGGCAGCCGCUCUGCGGGGCAACCGGAGCCUCCGCAGCCAUGCGCACGAUCUGCCCCACCGCUGGCUCCGCUGGCUCCAGACAGACUUCGGGACCCUGCUGAAGCCAAGAGCUGAUGUGGCGAGGUAAGGGGCACAAUGCUAAUCACACCCCAACAGUCCCAAAGGUCCACUCGAGACCAGAGCAGAGAUGACCCACUUUCUCACCCAGGGGAAAGAGCCCGCUGGGGCAAUGAGCUGGACACGUUGGCGCCUGGUUUCGCAGCUCAGCUUUAGAGUUGGGGAGCCCCGCGUGAGCAUCCUUAGACUGUACCGACAGUACACAGUGGCCAAGGACAGGAUCCCUGGACCCCAUUCUCACAGCCAGUGGCUGCUCGUCUCCAGCCUCGCGCUGGCCUGGCAGACAGGAACUGGGACAAAUGGAGCAAGCAGAGGGGGGACGCUGGUGAUCGCAGAGGCCGGGGGCGUCCCACGCUGCCAGGGGCGGAGAGGCACACUCCCAAGUGACAUGCGCAGCUGCCUCUCCCGAUGGGCAAGGGCGUCUCACUGGGGAGACGGAAGCCGGGCUGUCCGAGAGCUCUAACCACGAGCCUCCCACUACCGCAAGCGAUAGUCCAUGACCUCUGGGCACCGCCCGAGCCAUGACUCGGUGCUACCAGGUGUGCUGGGGGAGGGGAAGGGACACGGCCAAGCCCAGUGCUUUCCCUUCUGCCCCUGCCACGCUCGGCCUCUGGCCACCGUUAUUCAGCGCGGCGCGAAGCCUGUGGGCCGCUGGAGGCAGCACUUACGGCGACAAUGCGUCCUAGAGCCCAGCGCCCAGCACUCACGCUCCCGCGGCGACCGACGGCACCCGGUGCAAGUUCUGAGCCCGAGGGGCGGAGCCAAAGGGGCAGGGAGCUCAGCGCGCACGGCCGCUCAGCCAAUAGUGACACCAGGAUACGACCCAGGGCGGGGAGGGGCCAGCGCUCCGCCCGCGCGCACCAAUCAGCGCGCAACUCCUCCUGCGCGCUCGGGAACCAAGGGAGGAACCGCUUUGUGUGGAGUCGGCAAAGCCAGCGCGCUAGGGGCGGGGCCCUGCAUCUUCUUGUGUAGGAUGCUUCUCCAGGCUGGAUUUUAUUUUGUUUUUAAUUCCACGGAUGAGCCGGGUUCAGCAGAUCGGGGAACUUUGGAAAACGCAAAGAAACGCUAAUUGAAGCCGCACUGUAACUUCAUCUCUUCAGACUAAAGUAAACAUGGAACUAAAGUCUACCUGCUUCACGGGUCGCUGUGAGAACUGAUGAAGGGACUGUGGAGUCCAGCGCUGCUGCGACGCAAAAACACAACUCUCACCUCAAAGGGGAUCAGAGAUGGCUUAUCCUAGAGCCAAAUAGGAGCGACCCUAGCCCGGGAACACAAAUACAGGUUAUUCCAUGUCCCAACAUGGUAACAGUUUGAUAAAAAUUGUGAAUUAUUUUGUGCUUUUUUUUUUUUUUUUUAGUUAUUUUAUGCGUGUUUGCCCGCGUGUGUAUUUGUGCACCACCUAUGUGUCUGGUGUCCUCAGAGGCCAAAAGAGGGGUCAAAUCUCCUGGGAUUGGAGUUGCAAACAGCUAUGAACCAUCCUGUACAUGAUUGGACAACCCUUGCAAAGGAACGGUGUAGCUGUCUCUCCAGCCUCUUAAUGAAGAACAAAGAAAAACGUAAAAACAAGGCACUUUUCAAUUGUAUUGGUGAGGAUAUCAGGUAAACAGGCUACAGCAAAGGAGAAAAAGAUCUCAGCUAUAGGCCCCAGAUGCUAGCCUGAGAGCAUUCUUAGCCCUUUGGUUGAUCGGAAACUAGAGAUCUGUUCUUGCACUCUGACUUACUGGAUAGUUACAAAGAUGUUAAGCCAAGUAGAGGGCAGAGCAAUCAGUAGUUGUUAAAGGACAUAAAGAUGCCACAAAAUGCCAGUCUGGCUCUGGACCUGCAACAUUUUAACCCUUUUGUGUCACUAAAUUUCUAGUCAGUAAAUCAGACUAGCAAAAGAUGCUGCUGUUCUUUUGAGUAAUUUGUAUUCACGGCUGCCAGACUAGCCACCAGGACCACAGCUUCUAAAAUGUAGCCACUUCACAGAUCUCCUGUUGUGUAACAGUUUCCAAAAACACUGCUUCCUGUAGGAAGCUCCUUAAGCAAUAAGCACUUAAAAUAGCUUUGGGAACCUCCUUAAAGAGGAAGGUAAACAAACUCAAAUUAGCUUCAGGAAGUCCCUGAAACUGACCAGGUUCACUAGGCCCCUCCCUACCAGGCUAAGCAAUAAACUAGUCAUAACCCAACACCUCCCAUUAGGGAUAUAAUGGCCUGGGCUCUUAGAGUCCUUUCUGCUUCUCCAUCCUUGAGAACUCUGUGAAAGGAGACAAGAUACAUUGCUUAAUGAUGACUCAUUGCCUAACGAAGCAGAGGACACUCAUAUGACAAUAAACAAUGGGCACAAGGACCACUCAGCUGGCUACAUUUUAGGCAGGCCCUCUGCUGUUUCUGAAGUGACCUGAUUCUAGAACAGGUACUAUUUUCCCUAGUGAGUUUGUCCUGUUGAGGUUCCUGACAGACCCCUUUGAAUUGACUUUUUUUAAAAAAGUGUAUGUGUGUCCAUGUCCGUGUGUGUGUGGUGUUCAUCUGUGAGCACAGGCACAUACACAUGUAAGUCGAAAUCAGAGAUCAACUUCAGCUGUGGUCCUCACCUCACCUCACCAGAACAACCUCUGGCUCACUGCUACAUGCACUGGACUUUGUCAGAAAGCCUCCUGGUUCACAGUCUUCUGAGGCUUAGGAUCCCAGGGCCUGUGUCUAUUAAUAACUUUCCAGACAGUUCAGCUUGUCACACCUCUCAGAGCCAAACAGCUCAGGUCUCAUGCCUCUCAGCAGCCGAUAGAGGGCUGCUGUUUCAGUCCUUGCUUUUCCAAGUUGUUGAGCAUAAAGGAUGAAAGGACUCUGGCCAGCUGGAGUGUGGCAAGCAUGGCUCUGGCGGGCUUUGCCCUUCUCUUCCAUUCUCUCUGUGUUAAAAUAAUUUUUAACUGUUUUUCCUUUCCCAGGCCCAUCUCCCAAAGUGAUGACUCUGAGACUAUUUAUUAUUAAAUGUGUUGGCUAUUC
rnacentral:lncRNA from 1 species